UGAUCUACGGGAGGCAGCAGUGGGGGAUAUUGCACAAUGGGGGAAACCCUGAUGCAGCAACGCCGCGUGAGUGAAGAAGGUCUUCGGAUUGUAAAGCUCUGUUCUUGGUGAAGAUAAUGACGGUAGCCAAGGAGAAAGCUCCGGCUAACUACGUGCCAGCAGCCGCGGUAAUACGUAGGGAGCGAGCGUUGUCCGGAAUUACUGGGUGUAAAGGGAGCGUAGGCGGGGAUGCAAGUUGGGUGUCAAAACUACCGGCUCAACUGGUAGUCGCACUCAAAACUGCAGCUCUUGAGUGAAGUGGAGGG
rnacentral:rRNA from 1 species